rnacentral:lncRNA from 1 species
GGCUUCAUAGUAUUCCAUGGUGUAUUUGUGCCAUAUUUUCUUUAUCCAGUCUAUCAUUGAUAGGCAUUUGGGUUGGUUCCAAGUCUUCACCAUUUUUAUGAUAAAAACUCUGAACACAUUAGGCAUAGAAUGAAGAUACUGCAAAAUGAUAAAGAUUAGAUAUGACAAAACAACAGCUAACAUCAUACUGAAUGGGAAAAAGCUGAAAGUCUGUGCACUAAGAACUGAAACAGUACACGGAUGCCCACUUUCA